UACGUAGGGGGCUAGCGUUGUCCGGAUUUAUUGGGCGUAAAGAGCGUGUAGGCGGCCAGGUAGGUCUGCUGUGAAAACUCGAGGCUCAACCUCGAGACGUCGGCGGAAACCAUCUGGCUAGAGUCCGGAAGAGGAGAGUGGAAUUCCUGGUGUAGCGGUGAAAUGCGCAGAUAUCAGGAAGAACACCCGUGGCGAAGGCGGCUCUCUGGGACGGUACUGACGCUGAGACGCGAAAGCGUUGGGGAGCGAACAGG
rnacentral:rRNA from 1 species